rnacentral:rRNA from 1 species
UACGUAGGGUGCGAGCGUUAAUCGGAAUUACUGGGCGUAAAGCGUGCGCAGGCGGUUCGUUGUGUCUGAUGUGAAAGCCCCGGGCUUAACCUGGGAAUUGCAUUGGAAACUGGCGAGCUGGAGUGUGGCAGAGGGGGGUGGAAUUCCGCGUGUAGCAGUGAAAUGCGUAGAGAUGCGGAGGAACACAGAUGGCGAGGGCAGCCCCCUGGGAUAACACUGACGCUCAUGUACGAAAGCGUGGGUAGCAAACAGG